GUAGUCUUAUUUUAAGUUAGAAUGGUGGUUUUGCAAUUCAUUAGUAUAGGGUGUUUUAGUUUAUA
rnacentral:tRNA from 1 species